UGACAUUUGUGUCUUUCCACGUAAACAUUUUACUGUGUGUUGGUUGCUGGAGGCGGACUGUUUCGUAGAUUUUGUUGUAAAUUACAUGAUUAUUGUGGAGAAAAAGUAUUAUUUAGUGCUUUAAAAUAGUAAUCCACUCUACGACAGACAAAAUGGACUCACUUAUGGAACCAACGCUGUACACCAUCAAGGGCAUGUGCAUACUGGACAACGACGGGAACCGCAUACUGGCCAAGUACUACGACAAGAACGUGUUCCCCACGGUGAAGGAGCAGCGGGCGUACGAGAAGAACCUGUUCAGCAAAACACACCGGGCGGAUGCGGAAAUCAUCAUGCUCGAUGGGCUGACCUGCGUGUACAAGAGCAAUGUGGAUCUGUUCUUCUACGUGAUGGGCAGCACGCAGGAGAACGAGCUGAUACUGCUGUCAGUGCUGAACUGUCUGUACGACACGAUCACGAUGAUACUGAAGAAAAAUGUGGAAAAGCGGGCGGUGCUGGAAAAUCUCGACAUUGUGAUGCUGGCGUUCGAUGAAAUCUGCGACGGAGGCAUUAUCCUGGAUGCAGAUCCCUCGUCCGUGAUGAAGCGGGUCGACCUGCGAAACGAUGACAUUCCGAUCGGGGAGCAAACCGUUGCCCAGGUAACUAACGCCAUUCAUGGGCUGUUUUGGUAGGGCAGCGUACCGCACGCUCAGCAACCACAACAAGCUGCUGUACAGUAUUUGAAGCGAACAAGCAAACACAUCCCACGGUAGAAUAGGCGGUUCUACAGUCGGCCAAAGAGCAACUGAAAUGGUCACUGCUAAAGUGAGCACUCGGGAGUGGAAUAUUCAUUUGCUUGCUUUUGCCCUCAUAUAUAGAUACCAAACCGUCAAGCCACCCGGGGGUCCACUGCACCCUACACCCGGCAUUGCAGGGAGGGUGUUGUAGCAAUUCCUUUGGCGGGUGAAUCACUUUACAGAAAGCGAACGAAAUUCCGUUUCAUUUUAGGAGGACGUUAACAUUAAGACCGAAAACAGAAGAUAAAUGGUUAAGCAAAUAACACGAAACCCGUUUGUGGCGCCCGAAUUGUAUCCUGUAUCCGAAAUUUCUCGCAUAUUGCAUAUCUGUACCAGCGUGAAACGGUUGAAUAUUGCGCUUUUGUUGCGCAAGCGUCGACAGCGAUUGUAAAUCCAUAAAACGAGACUGGCUGCACCGGCAUGGCGAUGGUAGUGGUGGUAGUAGAGACACUAGAGAGACAGAGAUUGUACAAUUAAGUGAAGUACCAAAAACAACAAACUCUAAUAUCGUUUGCCCCUUGUCCGUCCGGCUGAAGCGUACUUGAUGAUGUACACAACCCCUUUUGGCAUGGGAAGCGAAUCGAUCGGUCCAGGGACAGUGGCAGUGCCGGCUGGAUAUACCUUCACCGCAAACCAGUUCGGGAAGAUAACAUUGUGUUUGGCAGGGCAAACACUCCUAAUAUUCGUGACCCUUGCUUCCCAGGCAUUUUGCACGUUUCCGAGACGUGAUGGCGCCUGGAGUGGAUUGAUUAGAGUUUAUUAGAAAAACAAAUAUUUUACACUCUCUGUGGAGGAGGAGAAACAGCACGCCAAAAAGAAAGUAAAGCGACAAAAUCCAAUUGCGCACCGUGCGCACGAAAUCAAACGUGUUGCGCGUCUCUUUUGUUGUGUGGAGCAGUUGCAGGCCCGAAGGGGAUUUUUUUAUUGUUCCAAUUAAUUCCUCCUAUAAAAGGGAUUUAUCU